GACUUUCUUUUCCACAAUCCACAACUGCGCCACAGCGGUUAAUCCCUGCAGGACAAGAAGACGAACGACGUUUAAUCCCAUUCCAAGAGCAAGAGAAAUUCGCUCUAUUCGUCCCAGCGCUGACCUCCGUUGCAACCACGAGACCCACCGGAGCACCGCUUAAGAGGCCAGGACUUCACUCAUUUGUUUUCCAGGAAUCCGCCCGUUCGAGCACGCAUCCUGAGGUUUAACAAGAGAUUCACUGGACUUCCGGAAAAUCCGGGCCCCACGCGCAAGCAACACCACGGAGGUCACAAUGGCCAUGGCUUUAUCAUCGAACACUGGAGGUCCUUGAAGGCCACAGUCAAAACAGGAUAUUGAUGUUGGCAAUUGGACUCCUGCUUUCAUCCGGGCCAUCCAAGGGCUCUCCUGCCGUGCCCAUAGCCAGACAUGCAGCUCUCUCCCCUGGGAGCAGUGGCAGACAGCACCUGUGGACAAGCGACCAUGCAGAGACAGGGGUUGUGGGGAUAAACAGGGGUCCCCAGCUACUCUUAAAUGAUCACUAGGUGGACAUUUUAGGGAAGGAGUGCAGUCUUUUUGCAGUCAACACCAGCAGUUCAAUUUGAGGUUAGUAGCAGGCUAGGUUCAUUACUCUUUUAAUGCCUUUCUAACAGUUGUAACUGCAGACAUGAUGGCUGACUGGAUGUGAGGUGACAGCGGUGCUGAACCUUACAAACAGGAUGAAAGCUGACAGCACUGAUGUGUAAAGCCUGCUGGAUAAAUGAGCAACAUCAGAAAGGCAGGAAUUUUUCCAAAGCUUUGACUUUUACGAGAAUAGAACAGAAGAAAUCUUAUCAUUGUCAUCGCACAGAGUAGUACUAAAUUAAGUAGCAAUUAUGUAGCUGGAUUCACAAAAAUCAAAGAGGAGAGGCAAUUAACAUAUAUAAGUAUAUGUUCUUUUCCAUGCCUUUUUAAUAUUUAAAAUAAAAUGAAAUAUGUUCCAUGGCACUGGCUGUGUGCUGACUGCAGGUACAGGUGCAAUAUAUCCACCUGAUGGAAUGGAAAAGAAUGCAACACUGUUUCAGUAUGAAUAGAAAUUCUGCCAUUGCAUUAAUCUCUCCAUAUUGGAGAUGGCAAACUUAUUUACAUAUUGCAGUACUUAAUUUUAAAUGGUAUAGGAAAUGUUCUGUACAAUAUGCAUUCAAAUUUCUGUUCAACUAUCCAUGUUUACCUUUUUUUUAUUUUGCAAUAAAAAAUUAAAUGCUGGAAAAUGAAGGAAUUUAUGAUGUCUGAUGAGGAACAUUAUUCUGAAGCUUGAAUAAUAGAAAGGCUAUUGAACAUGAUUGUUUUAAUCAGACAGACUUAGAUACUGAUAAGAACGUGAGCCAGCAGCUGUCAUAUGGAAAAAAUGCUCUGAUUGUUCAUCACUUUGAGACAGCCAUUGACCAGGUGGUGCUUGGACCUAAUGACAUUGAUUACAUGAAACCUAAUUCCUGAUCUGAUAACCCUGGAAAAUUAAGAGUGCAAAUUGCUUUUUAAUUAAACAAUAAUUACUUGAACAUUAAUGAGACACAUGCUGCAUGUAAAUCAAUAACAGGAGGAAUUUUACUUAAAUGAAAAGAUUCAAAGUUAAAAAUCUACGUGUAAAUUAAUGAGGUCAUCUUUGAUUUAGAUUGAGAAAGUCUAUCUGGUUUUAGAUGUGCAAAGUUAUUUUACUUCAUUCAAGGGAAUGCCUUUUAUUAAUUAACAAUUUUAUCUUAGUGAGGAUUAUGUUGAGCUAUAUCUAGAGGAAAUACAAUUUGUGACAGGACUUCCAGUAUGUAUCCACAUUUAACUCUAUCUGUAAAAAAUAAAUUGAUGUCAAGUUUUAGACUUCACACAAGGUCAUCAACCUGUCACAUUGACAACAGUAGUCUCUCAGAUAUUUCAGGUCCCAUUAAAACCUAUGGUGUCGUAAUAAUCAUUCAAAACUAACCCUCUAAGAUGCAGCCACAAUAGCACAACAAUUUUUAUACAGCAAAAUGUGCAAUACAUCUACAUCAUUAUCGUGCUUUGAGCUAAAUGCUGUUGUCAGUAGAUAAACGUCAUGGUGACAAAAGAGGAGAGGCCAGAGAGAAAUAAUACUCCAUUCAAAGACAUUCUCUAGGGACCAUGAAUGUCCAGACAAAUGUUUCUUGACAUCUAGUAUUUGAUGAGACAUGUGGUGGAUGCACUGAUCAGUAUUUUGAGAGCUGGACCCACAUCAGCAUCAGUCAUUUGGUGGUGUAAUGUGAGCACAUGUCUCAUGGCAGUUUUCGUUUGACUGUAGUUUUUUUUUUUUUAUUGCUUGGGCAAGGCUGUAUAUACUUUAGGUGUUACAUAUGCAAAGUUUUAUUAUCAAGAAUCAAGAACAUGACGCCUCUUAGAAUUUAUUAUUUAUUUAUUUAAUAUUCAUUUACUGCACGGGCACUAUGAUCAGCUUGUUUAAAAUGAAAUAAAGGUAAUUUCUGAAAUGUUUAGAGUUACAUUUGAGGGGGCAUGUUUACAGUGUAAGUUAGAGGGACCAUUUAGUUUGUACACCUGCAUCACCUGAAAUGGAAUGUGAACUGUAAAUCUUUUUCUUGGCAAAUGAAUUAAUUCUGUUUUUUCACUUCCCACUAGAGUUUCAUAAAAGCUAAUUGAUUAAUAUUCAA